GCCCAGGUGAUGGAAUGGCAGACAUUCAGGACUUAAAAUCCUGUGACCGCAAGGUCGUGAGGGUUCGAAUCCCUCCCUGGGUACCA
rnacentral:tRNA from 2 species